GAUGAACGCUGGCGGCGUGCUUAACACAUGCAAGUCGAACGGUAACAGGUUAAGCUGACGAGUGGCGAACGGGUGAGUAAUGCAUCGGAACGUGCCCGAUCGUGGGGGAUAACGCAGCGAAAGCUGCGCUAAUACCGCAUACGAUCUGAGGAUGAAAGCGGGGGACCGUAAGGCCUCGCGCGAUCGGAGCGGCCGAUGUCAGAUUAGGUAGUUGGUGGGGUAAAGGCUCACCAAGCCGACGAUCUGUAGCUGGUCUGAGAGGACGACCAGCCACACUGGGACUGAGACACGGCCCAGACUCCUACGGGAGGCAGCAGUGGGGAAUUUUAGACAAUGGGCGCAAGCCUGAUCCAGCAAUGCCGCGUGCAGGAAGAAGGCCUUCGGGUUGUAAACUGCUUUUGUACGGAGCGAAAAGGCUCUCUCUAAUACAGGGGGCUCAUGACGGUACCGUAAGAAUAAGCACCGGCUACCUACGUGCCAGCAGCCGCCGUAACAC
rnacentral:rRNA from 1 species